rnacentral:lncRNA from 1 species
AAUUAGAAAAUAGAUACCCAUUGACAGAAAAAAUGAAGGGAAAAAAAGAGAGAAUAAAAAGAAAGAACAAAAUAUUAUUCAAAGAAUAAAAUACAAAAGAAAAUGGAUGGGUAUCAAAAAUAAAAGAAAAUGUUUCAAAUAGAUCAAGAUCAAGCUCUUCAAGAAUUGAAUGUGGAAACAAAUAGACAAUUAGAUGAAUGAAGGGAU